GGCAAAGUUGUUGUUUAACCGCUCGUGCUAAUAUUGAUACCCGAGCAAACGAAAGAUCCCAAAGUACGAAAAAUGGAAUCUUGAGCGUUGCGAGGGUUUCAAGGCACGAGGUUUAAACAAAUUUUGCCACCGAUGAAACACAAAAUUUUUCACCACACCAACCCGAAGCAAAUAUUAAAUGUAAAAUAUCAAACAAAAUCAAACCAAAUCAAAUCCAAAUGAAUGUUAUUAAAUAUUUAUCAUCCAAAAUCAUCAUUUAAAAGUCAAUUCUACCAGCAAACAUAAGAAAACAACUCAAAAUUUGCAUUUGAUUACUUUGCCUCACAUGUGAAUAAAAUACAACUUUGCGAUCAGUUUUUGAAGUGCAAAGUAAGUCUUUCCGAGCU